AGGGACUCAGGGAGCAGCCAAAUCUUGCGUUCUUGAGCUCGAUCAGUUCUUCAUCAAACUCUUUGAUCUACCCGCAUUAAUUCGUUCAGGUAUUUAAUUUAAUUUGAUCAAAAUUGUAUUUAUGUAUUUCCCAAAAAAUCAGCAAGACUGAACCAAGUAUUUACCAAAUAUUCCUCAUUUAUGAGAAUGAACAUGGAUACAGUAUAGUUGUGAUUUUGCUUAUGAAAAUAGUGUCCUGCCGUUAUUGGUAUUAUUCAUGAAC
rnacentral:lncRNA from 1 species